rnacentral:sRNA from 1 species
UCCUAGCCCCGAUAGAAAUGGUUACCCCACAGCUUGUGUUGGAGAAGUUGGUGGGUUGGAGCGUGGGAGACCCUUCGACUUCGCUCAGGGUGACAGCCUGAGGAGUAGGAAUGGAUAGCGGGAAACAGC